rnacentral:pre_miRNA from 1 species
CUCGUACUCCCUCCGUUCGAAAAUACUUGUCAUCAAAAUGGAUAAAAGGGGAUGUAUCUAGAUAUAUUUUAGUUCUAGAUACAUCUCUUUUUAUUUAUUUUGAUAACAAGUAUUUCCGGACGAAGGGAGUACUAC